GCACAUGGCCAUACCACCUUGAAUGUGCUUGAUCUCAGAAGCUAAGCAGGGUCAGGCCUGGUUAGUACUUGGAUGAGAGACCACCUGGGAAUACGGGGUGCUGUAGGA
rnacentral:rRNA from 1 species